UACGAAGGGGGCUAGCGUUGCUCGGAAUCACUGGGCGUAAAGGGUGCGUAGGCGGAUCUUUAAGUCAGGGGUGAAAUCCCAGAGCUCAACUCUGGAACUGCCUUUGAUACUGGGGAUCUCGAGUUCGGGAGAGGUGAGUGGAACUGCGAGUGUAGAGGUGAAAUUCGUAGAUAUUCGCAAGAACACCAGUGGCGAAGGCGGCUCACUGGCCCGAUACUGACGCUGAGGUGCGAAAGCGUGGGGAGCAAACAGG
rnacentral:rRNA from 1 species